CACACACACACACACACACACACACACACACACACACACACACAAACCCGUCCCUCUCGCUGUUGUAAAUACAGGCUGCUCUGUGCCCCGUCUCCAGGGACUCUGUUCCGUGGGCCGUACAGCAUUGUUUGUGAGAACAGCUCAGGAGCCAGACUCACCAGCUGCUGCCACUCUCUCGGGCUUCAGACUCUUCGUCUGUGGAUGUGAGGGGCACAGUGCCUAUGGCUUGGUGUGUAGCAUAGCUGGUGACCACAUGGGAAGCACCAAGCAGAGGAUGUUCGUGUGACAGCAGCUGAUUUUAAAGUAGCACUGCAGGUGCCCUAGAUGCUGGCAAGGCUUUAUUUUAUUCUUUUAAUUAAUUAAAUUAGAAUAAUCCCACAGUCCUACCUUUCCUUUCCUUCCUCAAACCCUUCCCAGCCCCUCCAACCACCUCUUAAACCGAUGGCCCCUUUUUUAGUGAAUUAUUUGGUUAUUUGCAGAAAUACGUAAAUACAAUAUGCUGAGUUCAUUUAGUGUUGCUUGCAUGUAUAUGGUUUCAGGGAUGACCAUUUUGUUUUGGAUAACUAAUUAGGAGACGCAUCCCUGAGGGGGGGAAAAAAACCGAAUCCUCCCUUCACUCUGUGGUCCUUAGUUGCCUGGAGUUCUUUGCCUAGGGAUGGGACUCCGUGAACUUCCCCCUUGUUAGCAUGUCUAUUGGUAUCACCAUUGUGUCAUUUAGGCAGCUGGGUCGUAGAGAUGUCAUGGGUACAGCUUUGUUUCUAGGAGAUGCAAUCUUAGCAGCUUUCCUGGUCCUCUGCCUCUUAGGGUCUUUCCUCUUCUGAAAUGUUCGCUGAGUCUUAGGGGCAGGAGCCGUGUUGUAGAUGUGUCUAUCGGGAUGGACUUCCCACAGUCAGGUGAUCUCUGCAUCAUGACCAGUUGUGGUUUUCUGUGAUGGUCUCUGCUUGCUGCAAAGAAAACCUUCUUUGAUGUGGGAUGAGAGCUACAGUUAUCUGUGGGAAUAAGGGAAUUCAAGAAAGGGAAAAGAAGAAAACAAGCAAGGAAAGACAUAUUUUAAGCAGCCAUAUCAUUCUUCCUUACCUCCAAACAUUUGCUCAAACAUGGCUUUCUCGGAGACCUUUUCAUGACGUCUGCAUUGAAAUUGUUGCUCACGGGCUGGGGGUGCUGGUGAGGAUGCUUGCCCCAGUGCCAACAGCACCAACAAUCAACAGAUAACUAAAAUAAUUGCUGCUCAUCGCUCAUCCAUCUCCACACGUGAGCACUGGGCAUUCCCUAUCUUCAGCACCUCCAGAUGUUUGAGCCACCAUUUGAUCUAUCUCUGUACCCUGUGUCUCUCUCUUCAAGUUGUUCAACCCAGUGAGAACAAGAGUUCUUCCCAUUUUAUCCACGGUUCUAACCUAAC
rnacentral:lncRNA from 1 species